rnacentral:rRNA from 1 species
AGUGAACGCUGGCGGUAGGCCUAACACAUGCAAGUCGAACGGCAGCACAGUAAGAGCUUGCUCUUACGGGUGGCGAGUGGCGGACGGGUGAGGAAUACAUCGGAAUCUACUUUUUUGUGGGGGAUAACGUAGGGAAACUUACGCUAAUACCGCAUACGACCUACGGGUGAAAGCAGGGGAUCUUCGGACCUUGCGCGAUUGAAUGAGCCGAUGUCGGAUUAGCUAGUUGGCGGGGUAAAGGCCCACCAAGGCGACGAUCCGUAGCUGGUCUGAGAGGAUGAUCAGCCACACUGGAACUGGGACACGGUCCAGACUCCUACGGGAGGCAGCAGUGGGGAAUAUUGGACAAUGGGCGCAAGCCUGAUCCAGCCAUGCCGCGUGGGUGAAGAAGGCCUUCGGGUUGUAAAGCCCUUUUGUUGGGAAAGAAAAGCAGCAGGUUAAUACCCCGCUGUUCUGACGGUACCCAAAGAAUAAGCACCGGCUAACUUCGUG